UACGUAGGGUGCGAGCGUUAAUCGGAAUUACUGGGCGUAAAGCGUGCGCAGGCGGUGAUGUAAGACCGAUGUGAAAUCCCCGGGCUCAACCUGGGAACUGCAUUUGUGACUGUAGAGCUGGAGUACGGCAGAGGGGGAUGGAAUUCCGCGUGUAGCAGUGAAAUGCGUAGAUAUGCGGAGGAACACCGAUGGCGAAGGCAAUCCCCUGGGCCUGUACUGACGCUCAUGCACGAAAGCGUGGGGAGCAAACAGG
rnacentral:rRNA from 1 species